rnacentral:rRNA from 1 species
GACGAACGCUGGCGGCGUGCUUAACACAUGCAAGUCGAACGGAAAGGCCCUGCUUUUGUGGGGUGCUCGAGUGGCGAACGGGUGAGUAACACGUGAGUAACCUGCCCUUGACUUUGGGAUAACUUCAGGAAACUGGGGCUAAUACCGGAUAGGAGCUCCUGCUGCAUGGUGGGGGUUGGAAAGUUUCGGCGGUUGGGGAUGGACUCGCGGCUUAUCAGCUUGUUGGUGGGGUAGUGGCUUACCAAGGCUUUGACGGGUAGCCGGCCUGAGAGGGUGACCGGCCACAUUGGGACUGAGAUACGGCCCAGACUCCUACGGGAGGCAGCAGUGGGGAAUAUUGCACAAUGGGCGGAAGCCUGAUGCAGCAACGCCGCGUGCGGGAUGACGGCCUUCGGGUUGUAAACCGCUUCCGCCUGUGACGAAGCGUGAGUGACGGUAAUGGGUAAAGAAGCACCGGCUAACUACGUGCCAGCAGCCGCGGUGAUACGUAGGGUGCGAGCGUUGUCCGGAUUUAUUGGGCGUAAAGGGCUCGUAGGUGGUUGAUCGCGUCGGAAGUGUAAUCUUGGGGCUUAACCCUGAGCGUGCUUUCGAUGCGGGUUGACUUGAGGAAGGUAGGGGAGAAUGGAAUUUCCUGGUGGAGCGGUGGAAUGCGCAGAUAUCAGGAGGAACACCAGUGGCGAAGGCGGUUCUCUGGGCCUUUCCUGACGCUGAGGAGCGAAAGCGUGGGGAGCGAACAGGCUUAGAUACCCUGGUAGUCCACGCUGUAAACGGUGGGUACUAGGUGUGGGGUCCAUUCCACGGGUUCCGCGCCGUAGCUAACGCUUUAAGUACCCCGCCUGGGGAGUACGGCCGCAAGGCUAAAACUCAAAGGAAUUGACGGGGCCCCGCACAAGCGGCGGAGCAUGCGGAUUAAUUCGAUGCAACGCGUAGAACCUUACCUGGGUUUGACAUGGAUCGGGAGUGCUCAGAGAUGGGUGUGCCUCUUUUGGGGUCGGUUCACAGGUGGUGCAUGGCUGUCGUCAGCUCGUGUCGUGAGAUGUUGGGUUAAGUCCCGCAACGAGCGCAACCCUUGUUCACUGUUGCCAGCACGUUAUGGUGGGGACUCAGUGGAGACCGCCGGGGUCAACUCGGAGGAAGGUGGGGAUGACGUCAAGUCAUCAUGCCCCUUAUGUCCAGGGCUUCACGCAUGCUACAAUGGCUGGUACAGAGAGUGGCGAGCCUGUGAGGGUGAGCGAAUCUCGGAAAGCCGGUCUCAGUUCGGAUUGGGGUCUGCAACUCGACCUCAUGAAGUCGGAGUCGCUAGUAAUCGCAGAUCAGCAACGCUGCGGUGAAUACGUUCCCGGGGCU